GGCGCAAGCGUUGUCCGGAAUUAUUGGGCGUAAACAGCUCGUAGGCGGUCUGUUGCGUCUGCUGUGAAAACCCGGGGCUUAACCCCGGGCUUGCAGUGGAUACCGGCAGACUAGAGGUAGGUAGGGGAGAAUGGAAUUCCCGGUGUAGCGGUGAAAUGCGCAGAUAUCGGGAGGAACACCGGUGGCGAAGGCGGUUCUCUGGGCCUUACCUGACGCUGAGGAGCGAAAGCGUGGGGAGCGAACAGGAUUAGAUACCCUGGUAGUCCACGCCGUAAACGUUGGGCGCUAGGUGUGGGGUCCUUCCACGGAUUCCGUGCCGCAACUAACCCAUUAAGCCCCCCGCCUGGGGAGUACGG
rnacentral:rRNA from 1 species